CUAGGCUUGACAUCCCUUAGACCGCUCCUUAACCGGAGCUUUCCCUUCGGGGACUGAGGUGACAGGUGGUGCAUGGUUGUCGUCAGCUCGUGUCGUGAGAUGUUGGGUUAAGUCCCGCAACGAGCGCAACCCUUGCCUUUAGUUGCCAUCAUUAAGUUGGGCACUCUAGAGGGACUGCCGAGGAUAACUCGGAGGAAGGUGGGGAUGACGUCAAAUCAUCAUGCCCCUUAUGCUUAGGGCUACACACGUGCUACAAUGGCUGGUACAGAGGGCUGCGAAACCGUGAGGUUAAGCCAAUCCCUUAAAGCCAGUCUCAGUUCGGAUUGUAGGCUGAAACUCGCCUACAUGAAGCUGGAGUUGCUAGUAAUCGCGGAUCAGAAUGCCGCGGUGAAUGCGUUCCC
rnacentral:rRNA from 1 species